rnacentral:rRNA from 1 species
GUGCCAGCCGCCGCGGUAAUACAGAGGGUGCGAGCGUUAAUCGGAAUUACUGGGCGUAAAGCGCACGUAGGUGGUUUUGUAAGUCGGAUGUGAAAUCCCCGGGCUUAACCCGGGAACUGCAUUCGAGACUGCAUUACUCGAGUAUGGGAGAGGGAAGCGGAAUUUCCGGUGUAGCGGUGAAAUGCGUAGAUAUCGGAAGGAACAUCAGUGGCGAAAGCGGCUUCCUGGCCCAAUACUGACACUCAUGUGCGAAAGCGUGGGGAGCAAACAGGAUUAGAUACCCUGGUAGUCCACGCCAUAAACGAUGAGAACUAGAUGUCGAGAGGGUUAGCCUCACGGUGUCGCAGCUAACGCGUUAAGUUCUCCGCCUGGGGAGUACGGCCGCAAGGUUGAA